AGUAGGUAGUCGCGUUUAUCCUUUCUUACGAGUAGUUGCAUUGAUCUUUAGUUUCUUGUCCCUUGAUUUCUGCGAGUAUCUGUUUGCACAUAAUGGUUUAUCAUGGCUUAUUCACUUUCGUUGUUUUCAUUUUCAUAAUUGCUUUGAAUUGUUUACCCGUAUCUAACCUUUCCUAUGCUUUUUCUUGAGCUGAGGGUCUUCCGGAAACAGCCUCCCUACCUAAGGUAGGGGUAAGGUCUGCGUACAAUCUACCCUCCCCAGACCCCACAUUGUGGGACUCACUGGGUAUGUUGUUGUUGUGCUGAAGGAAGCUUCUAGACUUUAUGCUGCAAGCUGGGUGAGAGAGACAUUGGUCCUGAACUUAGGCCUAAUGAUUACAAAAAGAUGCAAGAGGGUGAGGACAAGUUCAUUGAAGAAAAUAGUAGCAUGAAGGAGGAGCCCUCAACAUUGGAGGAUCCUGGUAUAAUCCUCUAUAACCCUCAUGCGGAAAAUGAAAUUGGAUUUCCCACUUAGUUUAGUAACCUAAUCUGUAUAGACGAAUCUUUGUGUAAUCACCUGGAAAGUCCUUUUGGGAAAUCAUGCAAUGCUGCAACUUAUGUUGUGUCAGCUGUCUUCCAUAAUAGACCUAAAUUUCAAAUGGAUCUUCAAAAUCAGUCUUGGUUCUAGUCCUCAACUUGAGGCUAUUGGAUUUUGCUACCUAGAGAAUGUCUAAGAUGUGUCCCUAUUUAUAAAUCGAUAUCAUUUGCAGCUAUCAGUUUGUUACUAGUUCGCUACAGUUUCUAGAUGUACCAGGAUAAAGGGAUUAGAUCAGAGAGCACAAUGACUCUGGAAACCUUAACAAAGUGAAGCUUGUGACUGUAGGAGUAGCUGAAUUAAAGAAGUUGCAUCAAAGCCUGCAAAGAAUUCAACUUCAGAGUGAAUGUUGGGCCUCGCUUGGAACAUACUGGAUCUUGAGAUUAAGGUUAUUAAUUAACCGUAGAGUGGUAACUGAUGAGGUGCAAUCUGAUGGCUAUUCAUGAGAUGUGAGCCGAGAACUCUCUAGCACUCCUCUCUCUGCGACUCAUGGCGGUUUGAAAAAUAUUCAGACUAAGCAUGAGACUUUCCAUGACUUAGUGAGGUAGCAUUGGAGGACGAAUGUUUCAUCACACAUUGUAGAAUGUUAAGCAAGCUUUGAGAGGGUGGAGUAAGGCCACUUAUGGUGAUAUUUUUCAACAAAUUGCCACACUGGAGGAUAUUAUUAAAUUGCCUGAAUUCAAUUUGAACUUAAUCCAUCUCAAUUGAUUAGAAAAUAAUUGCACAAGGUGCAAGCUCACUUGACUAGGCACCUUGCAAUUGAGGAAGAAUUUUGGAGGGAAAAAGCUAACAUGUCUUGGUUCCAAAGUGGAGACAGGAUUACUAAUUUUUUUUUUUUUUUGAAAGCUAACUAAGUUUUUGAAAUACUAAGUUCUUCCAUGUUAAGAACCUUCAAUUGAAUAUAAUCCGAAAUUGACUGUCUUAUGAGGCAGUAAAUUCUUCAAAGAACAAUUCACGGAAGAGAGUUGAUGGGAUGCAGGAUUUUGACAUUAUUGUUCAUGUUACAAGAUUGAUUACUGAGGAGCAAAAUGCAAGUUUUGUGGCUACACCUACUGGAGAGGAGAUCAAACAGGCUGUUUUUGGUCUCAACUGGAAUAGUGCUAGCAGUUCGGAUGGCUCAAGGGGGACAUAAAGCUUACCUCUGAUCCUGUGGUAGCAUAAGAGUCGACUACCUUACUAAAGACUAUCAACCAAUUACCAUAUACUAAAGAAAGAAGCUAGAAAAGGAAACCUAACAACUAUGCAUCUAAGAUGGGAGGGCUCCUCCCAUGGGGGAAUCAGAUGUUCUUGAUGGAGCCAAUGCUGGCAAAGAGGGGUUGGCCAGAAGUGGCAUGCUCUGCACGUGCGUCUUCUAUGAAGGGACUGUGAGGCUAGUGAUGUUCAUAGGUCGGUUGAAUCUGGCGACUUGAAGUUUCAGACUCUGCCUUUCCCCCUUGAUGUUUCGUGACUCUGACUUGUUUUUUUUUUUUUUUUGGCGGACCAAAGAGAAAAGAUAACAAGAGAAGAUUUCAGGGAAAGAACUAACAACUUAGUCUGAUACCAUGUAGACCGAGAAGAGAGGAGAGUUGUAGAAUGAGAAGAAGAAACAGAGAUAAUUUGGAAUCACUAAGCUUGAUUAUUUUUUUCAAGCUAUUGGAAAUUUAAGUAGUGAUGUGGACAUGUUCAAGAAUAGGAGUAAUACGAAGAGUAUAAAUGACGGGCCAAAAAUCUUUCUAACUGAUCAUAUUGGUUACCAGCUGAUAACGAAUUUCCUUAAUUGAUAUUAUAGUAUGUUUACACAAGUCUAUACCAUCUCAUCUAUUUCUCUUCCUCUUAAUCUAUUUUUCUCUUAGCAUAUCUUAGGUCUUGCUCAAACUUUUAUGCAAUAUAUCUUGACUUUCUUGCUUUACUGAUGAUUAUCUCAUGAAAGUCUUGCUCUUUAAUAUGCAAUUUUGUGCUUCAGAACAUAACUUCUUCUGUUAUUAGUCUAAAAUGCAUUUCUUAGAGAAAUGAGUUUUUAUGACAGAAAUAAUUUGAGCGACCUAGCUCAGCAUACUUUAAAACACAUUGGGAAACUCAUCUUUUGUCAUACCAUUUUUACUUGAGUUUCGUGAUUCAUAUUUUUCUCAACCCUCGACAUUGAUUAUGCUUAAAUCUUUUUUAGGGUUCUUACUAACAUUUUAAUUAUGCAUUAGCCUUUAAUAUUAUUGAUCUAUGGCUCUACAAAAAAAACUAGGUUAUUUUUCCGCAUCUCCCUAAGCCUUUUUGGAACAGUUACCCCUUACCUUUGCUGGUAGGAGGUAGCAAAGACCCGGUGGAAUCACAAGCUGACUCAGACACCCAUCGUUUGAAAAAAUAAAAGAACACACUGGAUUAUAGUGAGUUCAUUCUCCUAUUUCAUCUCUUAAGAUCGUUACAAGUGACUUAUAUAGAGAAUUACAGCUACUAUAUACUCCAUUAGUUCAUCCAUAACAACUCUUAAGAAGGGAACGAGGCGAGGACUUAAAGUUGAAAGCUGGGUUAACCUAGAGGACAGGUAACUGAAUUUACAUGAAUAUUUUGUUGCAUCUCAUUCUAUGAUUCAUUGUCUUCAGGCAUGACAAUCUAGUAGCUUUUUAGUCAGUCGGUGCCAUAGUAUUAGAUAUCAAAAGUUAUUAUGUUUGCUGUAAUUCUUUAAGAAACACUGCAAGAUUAAUGUAUCCUGGAUACAAUACAACCCUGUGAGAGCUUACUAGAGAAGCAUAUAAACAUAUUCUGGAUAUCUAUUUCUUCCAUUCUGCCUUAUAGCACAUACUUGGGAGUGCGAUAUUAUUAUAAUGCAGUAGUUGGACCUUUUUUGUAGCCUCAUCGAUCAGUAGACACUAAUUGUUUAACUCUUGUGGUAACUUUUCUAGUUUUGAGUUCUGAACCUCUGCCAUUUCUUCAACACUAGCUGUGGCUGCAGGAGGUGGAAUGGAGACACUACGGCCACCAUUGCAGCGAGUUUACAUGACAAGAGCAUCAGCAUAUAAAGAUGCACUUUAAAGUUUCAUAGUGGGAUAUCAAGAAGGUAUUCAACAAGUCAUGGAGAAAAACGAGGACUCUAAAUCACAUAAGGACACUGAUGCACCCAAAGGACAAACUUGACCUCCGUAGUAAAAGCUCUAGAAAAUGUAAGCACGGACUAUAAGAUGUGGAGCUUGAGGAAAACUAAUGGAAGAAAUUGCCCCUUGUGUUAUUAGAUGUAUUUAUUACUGUGAUGAUUGACUAGUUGUUGCAAGAGGAGUCCCUUCAAUCUUGUGAUAAGCCACCACCUCUAAUUUAUAUGUAUAUCUGGUGAUCCUCCCACUUGGAGGAGCACUAAUAUUUUGCGAGAGUCCUCAGUAGAAGUCAAUGGGGUAUCUUUUUUUCUUGAUUCUUAAUGGUCCACUCUUACAAAAAAGCAAUACUUAGUCUUUCUUUUCAUCUUUUGGUUGAUU